rnacentral:misc_RNA from 1 species
GCCUCUCUCCAAUUUCUCCAUUUUUUCUCAAAAGUGUGAAAUAAUCACACACUCGUAAAAUCAAACAAUAAAUACUCCUCCCUCUCAACCAUAAGUGAAAAGCAAGCAUUAUAUCUCGAAAACGGAGACUUGCUUAACAAAAAUGGCUCUCCGGAGCUCCCGUACGGUCACCGGCACCGGAAUACGGUUCACCUUCAAACUAUUCGCGUCUUUUAUCACUGUCGCUGUUUUGCUUUCAUUAGCUCUCUCUUCUCUCUACACUUCCUCUGCAGAUCCUUCUGAUCUCGGCGUUGGAAUUUCACGUGAUUUUAGAGUAGUUGGAUCAUUACGAAGGUCGGUUUUGGCUCUAAAAUCUGAUCCAUUGAAGCCGCGGCUAGAUCAGAUCAAGAAGCAAGCAGAUGAUCACCGUUCCUUGGUUCUGGCUUAUGCUUCCUAUGCUCGGAAGCUGAAGCUUGAGAACUCAAAACUUGUUCGAGUUUUUGCUGAGUUAUCUAGGAACUUUAGCGAUCUGACUUCAAAACCUUCAUACCGCCAACUGUUUGACUCGGAUGGUAACUCAAUGAAUGAGUCAGUUCUUAGGCAGUUUGAGAAGGAGGUGAAG